rnacentral:rRNA from 1 species
AUGGGGGAAACCCGACCCAGCGAGCCGCGUGAAGAAAGGCCUUCGGUUGUAAACUUCUGUUCUGGUGAAGAGGGAAAGACGGUAACCAAGGAGGAAGCCCCGGCUAACUACGUGCCAGCAGCCGCGGUAAUACGUAGGGGGCGAGCGUUGUCCGGAAUGAUUGGGCGUAAAGGGCGCGUAGGCGGCUACGGAAGUCUGGAGUGGAAGUCCUAUUUUCAAGGUAGGAAUUGCUUUGGAAACUCCGCAGCUUGAGUGCAAGAGAGGUUAUCGGAAUUCCCGGUGUAGCGGUGAAAUGCAUAGAGAUCGGGAGGAACACCAGUGGCGAAGGCAGGUAACUGGACUGCAACUGACGCUGAGGCGCGAAAGUGUGGGGAGCAAACAGGAUUAGAUACCCUGGUAGUCCACACUGUAAACGAUGAAUGCUAGGUGUAGGUGGUAUCGACCCCAUCUGUGCCGUCGUAAACACAAUAAGCAUUCCGCCUGGGA